AUGUCCCACCCGUACAUUUCGGUUCUGAGUGCGCAGUCCCUACCCAGCUGGCGGCUGCUCGCCAGGUUUUGUCGGCC
rnacentral:sRNA from 1 species